UACGUAGGGGGCUAGCGUUGUCCGGAAUCAUUGGGCGUAAAGCGCGCGUAGGCGGCCCGGUAAGUCCGCUGUAAAAGUCAAAGGCUCAACCUUUGAAUGUCAGUGGAUACUGCCGGGCUAGAGUCCGGAAGAGGCGAGUGGAACUCCUGGUGUAGCGGUGGAAUGCGCAGAUAUCAGGAAGAACACCGACGGCGAAGGCAGCCCGCUGGGACGGUACUGACGCUGAGGCGCGAAAGCUUGGGGAGCGAACAGG
rnacentral:rRNA from 1 species